AUACGGAGGAUGCGAGCGUUAUCCGGAUUUAUUGGGUUUAAAGGGUGCGUAGGCUGUGCGUUAAGUCAGGGGUGAAAUGCCGUCGCUCAAUGACGGAGCUGCCCUUGAUACUGGCGUGCUGGAGUACGGAUGCCGUUGGAGGAAUGAGUGGUGUAGCGGUGAAAUGCUUAGAUAUCACUCAGAACACCGAUUGCGAAGGCAUCUGACGAAUCCGUCACGGACGCUGAGGCACGAAAGCGUGGGGAUAGAACAGGAUUAGAUACCCCGGUAUCCCACGCCGUAAACGAUGAUGACUAACCGUCGGCGAUAGACAGCCGGUGGCCAAGCGAAAGCGAUAAGUCAUCCACCUGGGGAGUACGUCGGCAACGAUGAAACUCAAAUGAAUUGGCGGGG
rnacentral:rRNA from 1 species